rnacentral:lncRNA from 1 species
UUUGCAUGGCCCCUUGUGGUGUUCUUUGUCCUCGAAGCUUUAAGCUGCAGUAUAGUGAGUCGGUGUUGUCGGCAGUACGACCUUCAGGUUUGCUGGCUUUUUCUAGGCAUACCUGAGGGAAGGUUGUCUUCUUUGCAAUGUCAUGUGAAGCUCUGUAGUCACUGAAACAGAGCAGUAAAUUGUUUGUGUACAUGUGCAAAGUUGGGAGUGUGUCAGACACAAACAGAAGUAGCAUUCACUGUCAUGUGAAGCUUUCUAAGCACUGAAGCUUUGUAGUCACUGAAACAGAUUAGUUAAUUGGUUUGUAUGUGUAUGUGUGCAUAGUUG